AUCAUUACCGAGUUUACAACUCCCAAACCCAAUGUGAACGUUACCAAACUGUUGCCUCGGCGGGAUCUCUGCCCCGGGUGCGUCGCAGCCCCGGACCAAGGCGCCCGCCGGAGGACCAACCAAAACUCUUAUUGUAUACCCCCUCGCGGGUUUUUUUAUAAUCUGAGCCUUCUCGGCGCCUCUCGUAGGCGUUUCGAAAAUGAAUCAAAACUUUCAACAACGGAUCUCUUGGUUCUGGCAUCGAUGAAGAACGCAGCGAAAUGCGAUAAGUAAUGUGAAUUGCAGAAUUCAGUGAAUCAUCGAAUCUUUGAACGCACAUUGCGCCCGCCAGUAUUCUGGCGGGCAUGCCUGUCCGAGCGUCAUUUCAACCCUCGAACCCCUCCGGGGGGUCGGCGUUGGGGAUCGGCCCUGCCUCUUGGCGGCGGCCGUCUCCGAAAUACAGUGGCGGUCUCGCCGCAGCCUCUCCUGCGCAGUAGUUUGCACACUCGCAUCGGGAGCGCGGCGCGUCCACAGCCGUUAAACACCCAACUUCU
rnacentral:rRNA from 1 species